rnacentral:lncRNA from 1 species
AGACCUUAGGGUCUUAUCAUUUGGUAUUAGAGUGGCGAUCCUUGGCGUUCUCGCUGUAGUAUUGCCAUAGUUAUAUAAAAAAAAAAAGAAGAGAGAUAAAGAAAUUUGUUUGAGGAAGGGUGAAGCCGACAGCCACAAACGCCAAUCCUUCUCAACUGAGAAGGAACCUCUACAUCCCGGCCAAUGACCAUCGCUGCCCCUUCUCCACCGCUGCCGUUGCUGGCCAGCCACCAAGUAGCCAUCACCAUAAAAAAAAAAACAAAAAGAGGGAGGAGAGAGAAGGCCGACAGCCCGUAUCCCCUGCUUUCGGCCAGCCCACCCAUCGUUGUUGCUCUCCGGCCAUCGACCACCAUCGCCCGCUUCCCG